GUUGUAUGGUUAAGUGACUAAGCGUACACGGUGGAUGCCUUGGCAGUCAGAGGCGAUGAAGGACGUAUUAACUUGCGAUAAGCGUAGAUAAGGCAGUAAAAGCCACUUGAGUCUACGAUUUCCGAAUGGGGAAACCCACGUGCAUAAGCACGUAUCAUGCAGUGAAUACAUAGCUGUAUGAGGCGAACUCGGGGAACUGAAACAUCUAAGUACCCGAAGGAAAAGAAAUCAAUUGAGAUUCCGGCAGUAGCGGCGAGCGACCCCGGAUUAGCCCUUAAGCAGUUUACGUGUUAGUGGAAGCCUCUGGAAAGUGGCGCGAUACAGGGUGAUAGCCCCGUACACGACAAUGCGUUUAUUGUGAAAACGAGUAGGACGGGACACGUGGUAUCCUGUCUGAACAUGGGGGGACCAUCCUCCAAGGCUAAAUACUCCUGACUGACCGAUAGUGAACCAGUACCGUGAGGGAAAGGCGAAAAGAACCCCUGUGAGGGGAGUGAAAUAGAACCUGAAACCGUGUACGUACAAGCAGUGGGAGCCUCUUCGUGGGGUGACUGCGUACCUUUUGUAUAAUGGGUCAGCGACUUACUUUUAGUAGCAAGGUUAACCGAAUAGGGGAGCCGUAGGGAAACCGAGUCUUAACUGGGCGAAUAAGUUGCUAGGAGUAGACCCGAAACCGAGUGAUCUAGCCAUGGGCAGGUUGAAGAUUGAGUAACAUCAAUUGGAGGACCGAACCGACUAAUGUUGAAAAAUUAGCGGAUGACUUGUGGCUAGGGGUGAAAGGCCAAUCAAACUCGG
rnacentral:rRNA from 1 species